rnacentral:rRNA from 1 species
CCUACGGGAGGCAGCAGUGAGGAAUAUUGGUCAAUGGGCGCGAGCCUGAACCAGCUAAUUGUCGUGAAGGAUGACUGCCCUACGGGUUGUAAACUUCUUUUAUAAAGGAAUAAAGUGAGGCACGUGGUCCGUUUUUUGGUUGCUUGCUUCAUCAUUCUGUGCUCCAUCCGGUCCAGCAGCCGCGGUAAUACGGAGGAUACGAGCGUUAUCCGGAGGUAUGUGGUUUAAAGGGAGCGUAGAUGGGUUGUUGAGUGAGUGGGGAAAGUUUGCGGCUCAACCGUAAAAUUGCAAUUGAUACUGGCAGUCUUGAGUACAGUUGAGGUAGGCGGAAUUCGUGGUGUAGCGGUGAAAUGCUUAGAUAUCACGAAGAACUCCGAUUGCGAAGGCAGCUUACUAAACUGCCACUGACAUGGAUGCUCGAAAGUGUGGGUAUCAAACAGGAUUAGAUACCCCAGUAGUC